GAUGAACGCUGGCGGCAUGCCUAAUACAUGCAAGUCGAGCGAAGCGGGGACGGGUGAGUAACACGUAGAUAACCUCCUAUAAGACUGGGAUAACUUCGGGAAACCGGAGCUAAACCGGAUACUUAGAGAUGGAUGCGCGUGGCAUUAGCUAGUUGGUAAGGUAACGGCGUACCAAGGCAACGAUGCGUAGCCGAGCUGAGAGGGUGAUCGGCCACACUGGAACUGAGACACGGUCCAGACUCCUACGGGAGGCAGCAGUAGGGAAUCUUCCGCAAUGGGCGAAAGCCUGACGGAGCCACGCCGCGUGAGUGAUGAAGGUCUUCGGAUCGUAAAACUCUGUUAGUAGGGAAGCGGUACCUACAGAGAAAGCACCGGCUAACUACGUGCCAGCAGCCGCGGUAAUAC
rnacentral:rRNA from 1 species